rnacentral:pre_miRNA from 1 species
AAUGGCACCCUAUGCCCUUUAUAGUGCCCUACUGUGGGCCCUGGUCAAAAGUAGUGCGCUAUUAAGGGCAUAGGGUGCCAUUU